AGGCGGGAGGUGGAAGCUCCAGCAGGCUGGGUGCAGGUCGGAGAGUGGGAGUCUCAGGGGGCCCAUCCUCAGUGACGCAGGGGGAACCCAUGAUGGGGGUCUCAUGACCCAUAAUGGAACUCAUGAUGGGGGGUGUCCCAUGACCCAUAAUGGAACCCAUGAUGGGGGGUGUCCCAUGACCCAUAAUGGAACCCAUGAUGGGGGGUGUCCCAUGUUGGCAUCAGUGCCCUUGUAAGGAGACACCAGAACUUCCUGUAUGUCUCUGUCUCCACAUGGAAAACACCAUGAGAAGACAACCCUGUACCAGCCAGGAAGAGACCUCCCCAGGGGCCGGCCCGCCCAGCCCCUGCCCUCCAACGCCCAGCCUCUGGAAAUGGGAGUGACCAGCAUGGGACACGGAAGGCUUCGCUCGAGCCCCUCACCAGGAUGAAGGCUGUUGGAGACCCGCUGGAGAUGGCAGAGACGUCACUGAAGACGCAGCCAAUGAGGCAGGGCACGGGCAUCAGCAGCAGCGUGAGCCGUAGGAGGACCAUGUGGAACGCGGCUCUCUCAGGACACAGCUUGGCACAGGGUGCCUGAGAGCCUCACCUGCCUCGGAGACCACCCCUUCCCCAAAGGCAAACUCUCCCUGUGCCCCUCAGGAGGUGUCACCUGGAGCAUCUUGGCUAAAAUGCUGGGAUCAAGGCUUCGAAUCUACCGGUUGAGUCGUGUUUCCAGCCUGUCGUUCCAGGGUCUCCGCCACGGGUGCUGAGUGUCCCCAGCCAUUGCCAAGAGCCUCGGGGCUCCCGGAAACCUCAGCAUCUCCACAAUGGAAGUUCCAAGGUCCGAAAGUAGCAACUUUUAUGCAAACACAAUGUGACACACCAGCAGUGAAAGUGCUUCGAGGUGGCUCCGGCCUCUCAUCCCAGCACUUUGGGAGGCCGAAGCGGGUGGACAGUGUGAGGUCAGGAGUUAGAGACCAGCAUAAGCAACAUAGUGAAACUCCCUCGCUACUAAAAAUGCAAAAAUUAUCCAGGCAUGUUGGACAGCACCUGUUGUCUCAGCUACUCGGGAGGUGGAGGCACGACAAUUGCUUGAACCCGGCCGAGGGGGCGGUGCGGAGGUUGCAGUGAGCCCAGAUGGCACCACUGCACUCCAGCCUGGGCUACAGAGCAAGAUUCCAUCUCAAAAAAAAAAAAAAAAGUCGGACACAGUGAUGUCUGUCAUCCCAGCACUUUGGGAGGCUGACAUGGACAGAUCACCUGAGGUCAGGAGUUAGAGACCAGCCUGGCCAACGUGGUGAAAUCCUGUCUCUGCUAAAAACACAAAAAUUAGCCGGGCAUGGUGGCAGGUGCCUGUAGUCCCAGAUACUCAUGAGGCUGAGGCAGGAGAAUCGCUUGAACCCAGGGGGCAGAGGUUGCAGUGAGCCGAGGUCACAUCACUGCAUUCCAGCCUGGGCGACACAGCAAGACUCCAUCUCAAAAAAGAAAUAAAUAAAGUAAAAAUAAAAAUAAACAAAAACAAAGUGGCUCUAA